AUGCUGGGACACUACAGGUAUGAUAGGAAAGUUGGACCUUCGCUUUUAGGAAAGACCUGUUUCAUAACGUCAUCUUUUCUGGAUUUGGAGCUGGCACAUUUAUUCGGAAAAACAAAGCCCUUCCUGGCUUUCCUGCUGUGGUGUCACCAGCAGAGUGUGUUAAGGCAGCUGUGGGGAAGCAGAGCCUUCUACAGGGGCACAAGGUCAAACCAGAACAGAAAAAGCCCAGGAGCCUCCUGGAGAUAUCUGGAGAAUGCAAAACAUGGCCGACAAAUGAAGACACAGCUGCGCUCGUCUGAGAGCUCCCAGUCUCUCAGGAACGUGGAGUUAUGAGGCUGCUCACACACGACUCUGUUUGCUUAGUCUCUGACACGGAAAGACAACCAACACGAGAGAUGGGAAGAGAGAGAGAAAGGGAAGAAAAAGGAGGAGAGGGGUGAGACGAGAGCGGGUGGGAGAAAGACUGAUGGUAUAGUGGAGAGAUCAAAGUUAGCACAAAGACAGAUCUCAUAAAGAAAGAGUAAUACCAGGAAGAUAUUGGAAGGACCGUGCUGUUACUGGAAUACUAACACCCUGCAGGCCCCCCAACACAUGAUCAGUCCAGACUGCUUUCACAACAAGUGGAAGUCAGACAUUUGUUAAAGUGAUAUGUCGCUUUAGAGAAACAUUAACAAACACAAACAUCAGCAGCUUUUAUUAAUAGUGAUCUGUGGCUAGAAGGGAGACAGUCCAAUUACAAAAACUGCAUUUUAAAGUGAAAACCUGUUUCCCAAAUUCUUUGACAGUAUUUCCAAACAAAGGAUCCAUUUUAUUCAGCAAGUGUAACUUUAGGAAAUGUCAAAGUGAACAUUAUAUCUUAUAUCUUAAAUAUAUAUAUAUAUAUAUAUAUAUAUAUAUAUAUUGGGGGGGGUUGCCUUUAUUAGAUAGGACAGCUCAAGAUAGACAGGAAAGGGGGAGAGAGAACGCAGCAAAGGGCCACAGGUCAGACACAUUGCCGCUGUAGCAAGAACUCAGCCUUGGUACAUGGGCCACCAGGUUCACCAGGUGUGCUAACAGGGUGCCCAAAGUGAACAUCUGUUUUCAGAAUGAAUCAGUUUAUAUCCUUAAAUCAGAACAAACUGAAACUUUUCUUUUCAGUGGCCAGUCACAGUCUGGUGCAGCCUUUUUAAGAUAUUAUUUUAUGUUUUUCCAAAGGGUGUGACUCACUUGGAAGCAAAAUGGGGAAAAAUGUGCUCCCAUUCCUACAUUUUAUUAUAUAAUUUUAUAGAUGUUACUGUUCUGUAACCAGGUUCCAAACUUGGUUUCUGCCUGAGAACUGUAAGAUUCAAGCAGUAUUUGGCCUGCUUUACUUAUUUACAGCAAAUCAGGUAUAUAUUUGCAUUACUGGUGAAGUAUGCUGAUAUAUUUUAGGUAUACUUUCUUUCAAAACAACAGCUCUUAUAAUUAUCUUAUCUUAAAGUCACAUUGGUAACAAUAAAUGCAUGUGUGAUGUUAACAGUGAUAAUUACCUCUCAAGUAGGGCUGAAACGAUUAUUUUCAUCUGUAGAUUAUUAUCUCAAGAAAUCAAUUAACGGUUUGGUUUAUGAAAUGUCACUAUCUAGUAAAAUGUCUGUUAUUUUUUCCCACAGUCCAGAGUGAUGUCUGACCGGGGUCUGCAGAUAUUCAGUUUUUAAAUAAAAGCAGUAAAUGUUUUGCUUGCAAAAACACUAAAAUGAUAAAUUGAUCAUAAAAACAGUUUCUGAUUAAUUAUUUUAUGUCGAUCAAUUCAUCAAAAUAAGUUGAUUCUAAAUUGUAAAAGGACCUGAAUGGCAUCUUAGAAGGUAUAAAAACACAAAAAAGAAUCUAAAACACUAGUAGGCUUUGGAAAAUGACUCAGAGGAACGUAAACCAUACGUGAUUUGCAGUAAAUAAACUACAACGUGCAAAAACACUGACCUUUGUCAUUGCAGAAUGACACAGCACACACACCAAAACUUCAUCCAAAAGGUGUCAGUCAUUGCUCCUGGUUGGUGGCCCACUGAUGUCAAUCUCAGAACUAAACCACACACACACACACACACACACACACACACACACACACACACACACACACACACACACACACACACACACACACACAGUUGAAACAGCUGGCCAAGCCAAACCUGUAUCAAUGAAGGCAACAAGUUCAUUUGAAGACAGGGGUUCUCUUUGAAGUCGUGUCACUCGGUCAGUGAGCCAACACUAUUGUGAGCUGAGG
rnacentral:lncRNA from 15 species